UGGGGAAUAUUGCGCAAUGGGCGAAAGCCUGACGCAGCGACGCCGCGUGAGGGAUGAAGGUUUUCGGAUCGUAAACCUCUGUCAGAAGGGAAGAAGUUAUAUAUGAUGAAUAAGCAUAUAUAUUGACGGUACCUUCAAAGGAAGCACCGGCUAACUCCGUGCCAGCAGCCGCGGUAAUACGGAGGGUGCAAGCGUUAAUCGGAAUUACUGGGCGUAAAGCGCGCGUAGGCUGUUAUUUAAGUCAGUGGUGAAAUCCUUGGGCUCAACCUAAGAAUUGCCAUUGAUACUGUAUAACUAGAGUAUGUGAGAGGAUAGUGGAAUUUCUGGUGUAGGAGUGAAAUCCGUAGAUAUCAGAAGGAAGAUCAGUGGCGAAGGCGACUAUCUGGCACAAAACUGACGCUGAGGUGCGAAAGCGUGGGUAGCAAACA
rnacentral:rRNA from 1 species